rnacentral:rRNA from 1 species
AUGAACGCUGGCAGCGUGCCUCAUCCCUGCCAGUCGAGCGAACAGACGAGGAGCUUGCUCCUCUGACGUUAGCGGCGGACGGGUGAGUAACACGUGGAUAACCUACCUAUAAGACUGGGAUAACUUCGGGAAACCGGAGCUAAUACCGGAUAAUAUAUUGAACCGCAUGGUUCAAUAGUGAAAGACGGUUUUGCUGUCACUUAUAGAUGGAUCCGCGCCGCAUUAGCUAGUUGGUAAGGUAACGGCUUACCAAGGCAACGAUGCGUAGCCGACCUGAGAGGGUGAUCGGCCACACUGGAACUGAGACACGGUCCAGACUCCUACGGGAGGCAGCAGUAGGGAAUCUUCCGCAAUGGGCGAAAGCUUGACGGAGCAACGCCGCGUGAGUGAUGAAGGUCUUCGGAUCGUAAAACUCUGUUAUUAGGGAAGAACAAAUGUGUAAGUAACUAUGCACGUCUUGACGGUACCUAAUCAGAAAGCCACGGCUAACUACGUG